ensembl:misc_RNA Metazoa_SRP Metazoan signal recognition particle RNA
GCCGGGUGCGGUGGCAUGUGCCUGUAAUCCAAGUCACUGGGAGGCUGAGGUUGGUGGAUCAAGUGAGCUGAGGAGCUCUGGGCUGCAGCACACUAUGUUGAACGGGUGUCCACGCUAAGUUCGGUAUCGAUAUGGUGUUCCAGGGGGAGCCCGGGACCACCAGGUUGUCUAAGGAGGGGUGAACCGGCCCAGGUCGGAAACGAAGCAGGUCAAAUCCCCCGUGCUGUCCAGUAGUGGGAUAAUACCUGUGAGUAGAUGCUGCAGUGCAGCCUUGGCGAAACAUCGAGACCUAAUCUUUC